rnacentral:tRNA from 1 species
GCCCGGGUGGCGGAAUAGGCAGACGCGCAUGGUUGAGGGCCAUGUGCCCGCAAGGGCGUGCUGGUUCGACUCCAGUCCCGGGCA